rnacentral:lncRNA from 1 species
GUUGUCCUGAAGUGGUUUUGCUUUAGAUCCAGCUCUUCGACAGUUACUUUAGCCUUUUUUUUUUUUUUUUAAAUAUUCUGGCUUUAUGUCAUAUUUAUUGUCAGAAUUGCAUCUUGUGUGGUCUAUAAGGUUUAUGUUUUUAAUACUUAUUAAUACUUCUAUUUGACAAUACCAUAUUACAUGUAUUUAUAUCUUGCUUGAGUCAAAUCAGAACAUAUUGAACAUUGGAACUCGGUAUAUUACUUUUGAGAAGAUGGGUGGAUGGAUUGAUGUUAUGUGAUCCAGUGGCAAGUUAAGUGCAGGAAGAGGACAUGAUACUCAGAUAUAAAUACAAUGUAAUUAACAUAUUUUGUACAGAACUAGACCAAUAAUGCACUGAGCUCCUUUUUAACAUGCUAGUUCACCACAAGGAGAGAAUCUGCUAUAAGACAUGUCCCCCUACAUGAACAGGUACCUUCAGACUGAACAGUGUAUGUUUUUCUCCUUUUACUGUGAGCUGAGCGAAUAUUCAGAAUACGACCACUUUUUUUAGUCUAACUUCUCAUAAAUAAAUUUCCAAUCAUAUGCUCAUUGUAAGAUUUUUAAUGGUUAAAUACAUUUAUUGACAGAUUUCUUUUUUUUUGUAUACAUUAAUCAUGCUGCAA